rnacentral:rRNA from 1 species
GACGAACCGAGCGAACGUUAUUCGGAAUCACUGGGCUUAAAGGGCGCGUAGGCGGGCGGCCGAGUCCGGGGUGAAAGCCCCCAGCUCAACUGGGGGAAGUGCCUCGGAUACUGGUCGCCUCGAGGGGAGAUAGGGGGCGUGCGGAACUUCCGGUGGAGCGGUGAAAUGCGUAGAUAUCGGAAGGAACACCGGUGGCGAAAGCGGCGCGCUGGAUCUCUUCUGACGCUGAGGCGCGAAAGCCAGGGGGAGCGA